CAGCCGCCGCGGUAAUACGUAGGGUGCGAGCGUUAAUCGGAUUUACUGGGCGUAAAGCGUGCGCAGGCGGCCCGUUAAGACAGGUGUGAAAUCCCUGGGCUCAACCUAGGAAUUGCGCUUGUGACUGGCGGGCUCGAGUACGGUAGAGGGGGGUGGAAUUCCUGGUGUAGCAGUGAAAUGCGUAGAGAUCAGGAGGAACACCGAUGGCGAAGGCAGCCCCCUGGGCCUGUACUGACGCUCAUGCACGAAAGCGUGGGGGGCAAACAGGAUUAGAUGCCCUGGUAGUCCACGCCCUAAACGAUGGGUACUAGCCGUUUGGUGCGCGAUAGCGCUGAGUGGCGAAGCUAACGCGUGAAGUACCCCGCCUGGGGAGUACGGCCGCAAGGUUGAAACUUAAAGGAAUUGGCGGG
rnacentral:rRNA from 1 species